rnacentral:rRNA from 1 species
AGUGAACGCUGGCGGUAGGCCUAACACAUGCAAGUCGAACGGCAGCACAGUAAGAGCUUGCUCUUACGGGUGGCGAGUGGCGGACGGGUGAGGAAGACAUCGGAAUCUACUUUUUCGUGGGGGAUAACGUAGGGAAACUUACGCGAAUACCGCAUACGACCUACGGGUGAAAGCAGGGGAUCUUCGGACCUUGCGCGAUUGAAUGAGCCGAUGUCGGAUUAGCUAGAUGGCGGGGUAAAGGCCCACCAAGGCGACGAUCCGUAGCUGGUCUGAGAGGAUGAUCAGACACACUGGAACAGAGACACGGUCCAGACUCCUACGGUGAGCAGCAGUGGAGAAUAUUGGACGAAGGGCGCAAGCCUGAUCCAGCCAUACCGCGUGGGUGAAGAAGGCCUUCGGGUUGUAAAGCCCUUUUGUUGGGAAAGAAAAGCAGCAGGUUAAUACCCCGCUGUUCUGACGGUACCCAAAGAAUAAGCACCGGCUAACUUCGUG